ensembl:snRNA
AAAAAGGGCUUCUGCUGUGAUUUGCACAGGAGGAGUAGUGGUUACUAUUCCUCUUGCGGAAUCGCCAUCAAGAGAUUUCGGAAGCACAAUUUUUAAACCAGGGGCUGCUAGUGGUCACAUGUCCUGGCGCCCCG